AAGGCGGCCUGCUGGGCUUUAACUGACGCUGAGGCACGAAAGCGUGGGUAGCAAACAGGAUUAGAUACCCUGGUAGUCCACGCUGUAAACGAUGAUUACUAGGUGUGGGGGGUCUGACCCCUUCCGUGCCGCAGUUAACACAAUAAGUAAUCCACCUGGGGAGUACGACCGCAAGGUUGAAACUCAAAGGAAUUGACGGGGGCCCGCACAAGCAGUGGAGUAUGUGGUUUAAUUCGAAGCAACGCGAAGGACCUUACCAGGUCUUGACAUCCUAGGAAUCCUUUAGAGAUAAGGGAGUGCCUUUCGGGGAAUCUAGAGACAGGUGGUGCAUGGUUGUCGUCAGCUCGUGUCGUGAGAUGUUGGGUUAAGUCCCGCAACGAGCGCAACCCUUACUGUUAGUUGCUACGCAAGAGCACUCUAGCAGGACUGCCGUUGACAAAACGGAGGAAGGUGGGGAUGACGUCAAAUCAUCAUGCCCCUUAUGACCUGGGCUACACACGUACUACAAUGGCCGUCAACAGAGGGCAGCAAAAUGGUGACAUGGAGCAAAUCCCUAAAAACGGUCUCAGUUCAGACUGCAGGCUGCAACUCGCCUGCACGA
rnacentral:rRNA from 1 species